AUAUAUAUAUCAAACUUCUCUUGUUGAGGGGUUUGGAUGUGGGGGUUUGCUGGCCUCUUAAAUGGUUCAGCUCCUCUGAAAUGCAUUAGCAGAACAACUCUGUUCAUUGGUGUGAUAACUAUCUACGCUAUUGAAUGUGAGAGGCAGUUCAGCUUUCUAACAGUCCUCGGACAAUUCAUCAUUA
rnacentral:misc_RNA from 1 species